rnacentral:rRNA from 1 species
AUUGAACGCUGGCGGCAUGCUUUACACAUGCAAGUCGAACGGCAGCGCGGGGCCACCUGGCGGCGAGUGGCGAGCGGGUGAGUAAUAUAUCGGAACGUACCCAGAAGUGGGGGAUAACGUAGCGAAAGUUACGCUAAUACCGCAUACGAUCUACGGAUGAAAGUAGGGGACCGCAAGGCCUUAUGCUUUUGGAGCGGCCGAUAUCUGAUUAGCUAGUUGGUGAGGUAAAGGCUCACCAAGGCGACGAUCAGUAGCUGGUCUGAGAGGACGACCAGCCACACUGGAACUGAGACACGGUCCAGACUCCUACGGGAGGCAGCAGUGGGGAAUUUUGGACAAUGGGCGCAAGCCUGAUCCAGCAAUGCCGCGUGAGUGAAGAAGGCCUUCGGGUUGUAAAGCUCUUUUGUCAGGGAAGAAACGGUAGAGGCUAAUAUCCUUUGCUAAUGACGGUACCUGAAGAAUAAGCACCGGCUAACUACGUG